rnacentral:rRNA from 1 species
UCGGUCACGGAGGGCCAUUCGUCGUAAAUAUUGGCGGCACCCCCGUCGGUAUACAAAUUGCCCUGAAUCGUCAAGUAACCAAGGAUGCGGGGCCCGCCCAGCGUGGAUUAUUGUUUAUUCGAACCACGGGAAGACCUUACCCAGGCUUGACAUGAGAGGACCGGCUUAGAGAUAGGCUUUCCUUCGGGACUCUCACACAGGUGUGCAUGGUGUCGUCAGCUCGUGUCGUGAGAUGUUGGGUUAAGUCCCGCAACGAGCGCAACCCCUGUUUCUAGUGCCAGCAUGUAAAGAUGGGAACUCUAGAGAGACUGCCGUUGAUAAAACGGAGGAAGGUGGGGACGACGUCAAAUCAUCAUGCCCUUUAUGUCCUGGGCUACACACGUACUACAAUGGCUAUAACAAAGGGAAGCGAAGCAGCGAUGUGAAGCGAAACUCAAAAAAGUAGUCUCAGAUCGGAUUGUAGGCUGAAAUUCGCCUAUAUGAAGCCGGAAUUGCUAGUAAUGGCAGGUCAGCAUACUGCCGUGAAUACGUUCCCGGGCCUUGUACACACCGCCCGUCACACCAUGAGAGUUGGGAAUACCCGAAGCCUGUGAGCUAACAUUUAAUGAGGCAGCAGUCGAAGGUAGAAUCAAUGAUUGGGGUGAAGUCGUAACAAGGUAGCCGUAUCGGAAGGUGC